rnacentral:rRNA from 1 species
UACGUAGGGUGCAAGCGUUGUCCGGAAUUAUUGGGCGUAAAGAGCUCGUAGGCGGUUUGUUGCGUCGGCUGUGAAAUCCCGAGGCUCAACCUCGGGUCUGCAGUCGAUACGAGCAAACUAGAGUGUUGCAGGGGAGACUGGAAUUCCUGGUGUAGCGGUGAAAUGCGCAGAUAUCAGGAGGAACACCGGUGGCGAAGGCGGGUCUCUGGGCCUUACCUGACACUGAGGAGCGAAAGCGUGGGGAGCGAACAGG